rnacentral:lncRNA from 1 species
GUCGACAGAUGAUAUUAUUUCUGCAACCAUCACGCAGUUUUAUCCUUAACUGAUAAAAUAAGAAAAAUCUGCAAAACGAGUUAUGUUUCUUUCAGUUUUGUAUUGCGUUUUAAGUUUAAGUUCCGUUGUUUACAGUGUAAAUGUGGAACGGAGAUCUUCUGAAAAUGGUUUUCUGUGGAUAAUUGCCAAACAACUAGACCGACUAGAAAACAGGUUCCUUGACAUGUAGAAACAGUAUAACAGCAGGGGUGCGGAAAUUGAAUCAAUAAAGGAAACAAUACAGAAACAAAGUAAGUUUUCAAGAUUUUUUAUGAAUAAUGCAAAGAGUUACCGGUUAUUACAAGCUGUGAUGUGUUCCUUUUUGAAAAAUAGACGAAAAAGUUCAAAUUUCCCUAAUUGAGGUUCACUCACUUUAUCGAGUAAAUAUGAAAAGAAGUAGAUGUGGUUAGGUAUUAUAUGCAAACUGCUUCUGUUCGGAAAUCUAUUGAGUCUUACAUCAAUUUUUCAUAAAUUGAUUUCGAGCAGAAACAACGAAAUUCAAUAUAGAAUUUUUCUUAUUCAGACUUAAUGUCUAAAUGAAUGAAAAUAUUCCCUUCACUUUCGAUACGUAAUCCUUUUACAUUUAUUCCUUCAUAAUAAAAUUCAUUAAAUAUUCUGAUCAAGAUUCUUCUACUCAUUUCGAUUAUAAUAAGGGAUGAAAUAUACGAGGGUCAUGAAGACAGAAAACAGAAUAAGGCGAUAAAGAAAAGAGAAAAUUGGAUAAAUCAAAUAUUUGUUACUUUCGUUUUUAUCAUUUUUCUAAAUGACCUGUCUUAGGAUUCCUGAAUUGCAUAGAAAGCUAUAAAAGGCCCCGAUAUGACAAUGUAAAACAAUUCAAACGAGAAAACUAACGGCUUUAUUUAUAUAAAAAACGAACGAAAAACAAAAAUGUAACACAUAAACAAACGACAACCACUGAAAUACAGGCUCCAGACUCGGGACAGGCACAUGCAUAAAUAAUAUGGCGGGGUUAAACAUGUUAGUGGAACCCCUAACCUGGGACAGUGGUAUAACAGUACAACAUAAGAAAGAAUAUAAUGGCCAUUUUCCUGACUUUGUACAGGACAUUUUAAGAAAGAAUGCUGAGUUGAACCCGGUCUAGCGGCUAUCGAAACAUCGCCCUUUUAUGGCAAUGUUAAAUAUAAAAUUAAACUGACAUCAUUACAUGACAGGACUAUAGUAACAAUAAAUGCAAGAACAUUUAGGACAAAGAAAUACACAAAUAAACAUUACAAUAGGACAUUUCGACAUGCUGAUAGGAAUCAAAGGUAUCAGGCUUAUAAUUUAAUACACCAUACGUGUAUUUCGUCUACAUAAGACGCACCAGUGACGCUCAGAUCAAAAUAAUAAAAAAGGCAAACAAGUACAAAGUUGAAGAUCAUUGGUGACCCAAAAUUCUAAAAAGUGGUGCCAAAUACGGCUAAUGUUAUUUUAACGGUUGUAGUUUAAUUUUGAACUUUUCGCUUGAAAGUCAAAAGACAAUUAACACUAACUCUCAAGUGUUCAUUAAAAUGGGUUUUUUUACAAUAUAAAGUACAGUUACUUUAUGGAAUCGGUUAUUAGAACUUGCCCUUGAUAUUUCAAAUUUCAAUGAUUAAAACAGCGUAUUAUUUUAAUUUUCAGGUCCGUCCAUAGUGACGUUUCUGGCACUUCUGAUGUCACCACCUUACGGCUCUAUUGCGGCUUACGCUACCGUAAAGUUUGAAAGAAUAACAGAAAAUAUCGGGAGUGGAUACAAUAGCGGGACCGGGAUUUUUACUACUCCAAUCAAGGGUCUCUACCAUUUCACAGCUUCAGCAAGGCAAAGUCAAAGUGGAUUUUUGCACUUAGGAUUAUUUCGAAACAAUUUACAAAUGGCAGUUUCUGUUGCACGUAAUUUCAAUUCUCUAACAAUUGGCGCAACAAUAACACUUCAAUCUGGCGAUCGUGUUUACGUCAAAAACGUAUCGGAUCAACCAUCUGGUAUUGUAGGUUCUGGACAAUCCUAUUUUUCUGGCAAUCUUGUACACAAAAUGUAAAGAAUAGAGUCAGUUAAUGAAAUGCUUUUUUUUUUUGGUUAUUUUAUUUAUUUCAAUUCAAUAAUACCAAUCAACAUAUGCGUAUUCGUUGGCAUUUAUCUAGAUAUUAUUUUCCUUUAUAAUUCAGAAACAAUGCACAAAUAACACCGUUACAAUGCAGAAAAAGUAAAACACAUAUGGAACUUCGAUAGAAACUAUAAAUUACCAAUUUUGUGUUACUCUUAAAAUUCCGAGACUCAUUGACAACAAUAUAGUACAUGUACAGUGAUCACCUUUAUCAGAAAGUAUGUUAUACCAAUCAAAGUGCUUGUGAGCACUGAGGGUAAAUGUUUGCUUCAUUUUGCAGUUUUGUUAAUUUUUCAAUAAAACCUUGAAUUAUAUUUUGUUAGGCAAAUAAAAAAA